rnacentral:rRNA from 1 species
CCUACGGGAGGCUGCAGUGAGGAAUAUUGGUCAAUGGUCGCGAGACUGAACCAGCCAAGUAGCGUGAAGGAUGACUGCCCUACGGGUUGUAAACUUCUUUUAUAAAGGAAUAAAGUGAGACACGUGUGCCUUUUUGUGUGUACUUUAUGAAUAAGGAUCAGCUAACUCCGUGCCAGCAGCCGCGGUAAUACGGAGGAUCCGAGCGUUAUCCGGAUUUAUUGGGUUUAAAGGGAGCGUAGAUGGGUUGUUAAGUCAGUUGUGAAAGUUUGCGGCUCAACCGUAAAAUUGCAAUUGAUACUGGCAGUCUUGAGUACAGUUGAGGUAGGCGGAAUUCGUGGUGUAGCGGUGAAAUGCUUAGAUAUCACGAAGAACUCCGAUUGCGAAGGCAGCUUACUAAACUGCCACUGACAUUGAUGCACGAAAGUGUGGGUAUCAAACAGGAUUAGAUACCCUAGUAGUC